rnacentral:tmRNA from 4 species
UUUUAAAUAAAAUGGACCCAAAGGCAGUAGUUGGUAUUUCCACCA